rnacentral:rRNA from 1 species
AAUCAACGCUGGCGGCGUGCCUCAGACAUGCAAGUCGAACGAUUAAAGCUCUCUUCGGAGAGUGCAUAAAGUGGCGCACGGGUGAGUAACACGUAAGUAAUCUACCCUCGAGUGGGGAAUAACGUCCGGAAACGGACGCUAAUACCGCAUGAUGCAGCGGCACCGCAAGGUGACAGUUGUUAAAGAUUUAUCGCUUGGGGAGGAGCUUGCGGCAGAUUAGCAGUUGGUAAGGUAAUGGCUUACCAAGGCUACGAUCUGUAACCGGUCUUAGAGGACGGUCGGUCACACUGACGCUGAAUACGGGUCAGACUCCUACGGGAGGCAGCAGUCGGGAAUUUUGGGCAAUGGGCGAAAGCCUGACCCAGCAACGCCGCGUGAAGGAUGAAGUAUUUCGGUAU